GUUCCUUUGGGGACACCUGAUAAAACUGGAAUGUUAUAGAGAAGAUUAGUGUGGCCCCUGCUCAAGGAUGACACUUUAGUUCAGGAAUGGUCUGAAUUUUUA